AUUGAACGCUGGCGGCAGGCCUAACACAUGCAAGUCGAGCGCGAAAGGCUUUCGGGCUGAGUAGAGCGGCGGACGGGUGAGUAACGCGUAGGAAUCUCCCUGGUAGUGGGGGACAACUUGGGGAAACUCAAGCUAAUACCGCAUACGCCCUAUGGGGGAAAGCGGGGGACCUUCGGGCCUCGCGCUAUCAGAUGACCCGGCGUAGGAUUACCUAGUUGGUGAGGUAAAGGCUCACCAAGGCGACGAUCCUUAGCUGGUCUGAGAGGAUGAUCAGCCACACUGGGACUGAGACACGGCCCAAAAUCCUACGGGAGGCAGCAGUGGGGAAUAUUGCGCAAUGGGGGCAACCCUGACGCAGCCAUGCCGCGUGUGUGAAGAAGGCCUUCGGGUUGUAAAGCACUUUAAGUGGGGAAGAAAAGCUGUUGCCUAAUAAGCCACAGCCCUGACAUUACCCACAGAAUAAGCACCGGCUAACUCCGUGCCAGCAGCCGCGGUAAAAC
rnacentral:rRNA from 1 species